GACGAACGCUGGCGGCGUGCUUAACACAUGCAAGUCGUGCGGUAAGGCCCUUUCCUGGGUACACGAGCGGCGAACGGGUGAGUAACACGUGAGCAACCUGCCCUUCCCUUUGGGAUAACUGCCGCAACCGGUAGCUAAUGCCGAUGAUGACUUCCUCUCACAUCUGGGUGGUUGUAAAGCCUUCGGGUGGUGGGGUAUGGCCUCUCGGUCUAUCAGCUUGUUGGUGGGGUGAUGGCCAACUAAGGCUUUGACGGGUAGCCGGCCUGUGAGGGUGACCGGCCACAAUGGGACUAAGACAGGGCGCAGACUGCUACGGGAGGCAGCAGUGGGGAAUAUUGGACAAUGGGCGAAAGCCUGAUCCAGCAACGCCGGGUGAGGGAUGACGGCCUUCGGGUUGUAAACCUCUUUCGACUGCGACGAAGCGAGAGUGACGGUAGCAGGUAAAGAAGCACCGGCCAACUACGUG
rnacentral:rRNA from 1 species